AACGUAGGGGGCGAGCGUUAUCCGGAAUCACUGGGCGUAAAGGGCGUCUAGGCGGUAGGGUAAGUCCUGCGUGAAAGCUCCCGGCUCAACUGGGAGAGCGCGUGGGAGACUGCUCGGCUAGAGACUCGGAGAGGGGUGUGGAAUUCCCGGUGGAGUGGUGAAAUGCGUUGAGAUCGGGAGGAACACCAGUGGCGAAGGCGGCACCCUGGCCGAGGUCUGACGCUGAAGCGCGACAGCGUGGGGAGCAAAC
rnacentral:rRNA from 1 species